UACGGGGGGAGCAAGCGUUGUUCGGAUUUACUGGGCGUAAAGGGCGCGUAGGCGGCGCAACAAGUCACUUGUGAAAUCUCCGGGCUUAACUCGGAGCGGUCAAGUGAUACUGUCGUGCUAGAGUGCGGAAGGGGCAACUGGAAUUCUCGGUGUAGCGGUGAAAUGCGUAGAUAUCGAGAGGAACACCUGCGGCGAAGGCGGGUUGCUGGGCCGACACUGUCGCUGAGGCGCGAAAGCUAGGGGAGCGAACGGG
rnacentral:rRNA from 1 species